GUCGAUUCCACAUUUUCAGAUAUCUUUUCGGCAGCACCCCACUCUCAGUAUCAAUUUAUUAUAUUAGUCCAUUUUCAUGCUGCUGAUAAAGACAUACCCAAGACUGGGCAAUUUACCAAAAACAAAAGAAGAAGUUUAAUGAACUUAUAGUACCACAUGGCUGAGGAAGCCUCAAAUCAUGGUGGAAGUCAAAGAGGAGGAAGUCAUGUCUUACAUGGAUGGCAGCAGGCAAACAGAGAGCUUGUGUAGGCCAACUCCCACUUUUAAAACCAUCAGAUCUCAUGAGACCCAUUCACUAUCACAAGGACAGCACAGGAAAGACCUGCCCCCAUAAUUCAAUCAUCUCCCACUGAAUCCCUCCCAAAAUAUGUGGAAAUUAUGGGAGCUACAAGAUGAGAUUUGAGUGGGGACACAGAGCCAAACCAUAUCAGUACUCUAGUACUCUCCUGCACCAGGCUGGAUGUGAGCAGCCAAUUUUAUGGAGGAGGGAGCUGAAUCACUAGAGGUUGACCCCUGGCCCAAGUUAUUCUAUUGCUUCCAAUGUUGUUACCUCCCACUAUGUGGAAAGCAUUACAGUUCAAGUCAGGGAUCUCAGAAAUCCACAUACAGCCAUAGAAUAAUCUGAAACCUAGAAGGUUCACUCAGCGAGCCUUUCUUGGUUUACCUGAUAUUUGCAUCUGCAUAUGCACACACACACACACACACACACACACACACACACACACACACACACCAAGCAGCCUUAUCUAACUUAUCAUGUUAGACACCUCCUCAUAGCCAGCUCCAUGCCCCCUUCCCACCACUCCUCCAGAACAGGCUUCCAGAUAUUUUGAUCGAUUCCAUUCUCCUUUCAACCUUCCUGAGUUCCUGGCCAAAUCAGUAACUUUUGUAUUUCAGACCUUUCAGAUAAUCCGACUAUUGUAAGUAUGGCUGCAUCAUUUUGGUAAGUACUAAUGAACUUUCCUUUCACUCCAUCACAGAUAACAGAAAAAAAUAUUUGUAAUGCAUUUAAUUUUAUGGUAAUUGUUUAUAAUUUGCUAAGAAAUAGAUAAAAUACAAUGCAUUUUGGAAUAUAUAGACCCUUUAAGGCCAUGUAAUUUAGUCACUUCCUUCUAUACUGUUUCUCUAUCUACUUCUGACUUCUCUGUUACCUACUUGUAUUAUUCUUUCAUUCACUUGCUCAUUCAUUACUUUGUUCAUGAAGAUGUCUUGAAUGCCUGCCCUGCAUGAGUUCUGGUCAGGCACUGGUGGUAUAGCAGGGAACACAGCUCAGACGCACCAAUCAUUCAACUGGGUUAUAGUGAUCUAUCUCCAUAACAGCUUGCCCAGCUAGGAGAGAGCUCAGAAGUGGAGUCUUAUCCAGCUCGGUAUUGUCAGGGCCCAGCAUGGUACCUGUUACAGAACAAAACUCAACAAUGCCAUGUACAUGUGACCCCAGGGUUAAAAUGCAACAUUAACCGUGUCCCAGGCCCUGUUGGCAUAGCCAUUUUCUGGAACCAAUCCUGGCUGUGACCUCUGACCUUGUCAUGGCCCCCAUCACACCUCUUUCUGGACCUCACCAGUUCUUAGUCGUCACUUUCUAGUUUUCCUUUGUCUGGUUCUUUGCUUUUGACUGAGUCAUUCAUCCACAAUCUUCUUCUAGCCUGAGCCUCUGCUGAGCCACUGAGCUGAGCCAAGGAUGACUGCUGUGCCCCCAAUUUGUUUUUCCUACUGCUUUUUGCAGUCAUCAAGCCUGCAUCCAAGCUGUGCAAACCUAGAGGCUCAGCUGCUGCCCAAGAGUCAGGGGGGCCAUGUCCUGGCUUACUCUGGCCUGACUUUGUAGGUGACCCAUUUACCGAGAAAGGCCAGCUCUCCACUGUCUCUGCUGUGUAAUGGGCAGGCCCAGGAUGGGGUUGUUUGAGUGGCUGUUUAUAGGUGGGUAUGGGGUUCUUAUCAUUGGGUGAAAGUAUCUCCUAGGCAGCUGAUCUCAAUUUCCAAGGGCAGAGAAACAUCUCAGCAUUCAUCUCUACUAAGAGUUCUAUUAAAGCUCACUGUGUCCCAGUGGGUCCAUAGGAGAGAAAACAGAGGAAGUUGUGAGUGAAUUUGGAGAUUUAUGAGGCCAGAGUACAUUUAUUAUACUUGACUUUUGGGGAGGUGGUGGGGCAGGGUGUCCCAAAUCAACAGACUUGAGGGGGACUCAGCUGCAGAGCCCAGAGGCCCUGGCCUUUCCGCAGCAGCCCCAGCUUGCUGUGAGACCCUGCACUAUGGGCCGUGCUCCCCACGGGCUGUCAGACCCACACUCUUCAGCAGCACAAAUUCACUUUUCAAAGUGUAACUCUGCCUCACUGGGCUAUGAAUGUUUAUUUUCUACUUCACAUAUGUGGUGGGAGAGUAGGAUUUUGCAUUAUAUCGACUUUUAAUAUUCUACGGGAAAUAUAAGAUAUGAGAAACUGUUUAAAUUAUGUACGGAAAAGAGCAGAAAGCAUGUAGGAUAUGGACAUAGAGUGUCUGUGUGGGUUUGGGUGUGUUUCGUGGAAGGAUAUACAACAUUUCUCACCAUUGUUGAUGUCUUUGGACUUUCUGGCUUUCACUCUGUUGAUUAAAUUGAUUACAUGCAUAUCUGUCAACCUGCAGUGUAAAAUACUGGAUGGAGUCUGGUGGUCUGAUUUCUUUCUUUUUUUGUUUUGUUUUGUUUUGUUUUUGGUUCAUUUCUUCAUUCAUUCAAUUGAACUUUGCUUAUUCCCACAGGCAAAGCCCAUCCACAUGGGCCAUUUAUACCAUAUUUAAAUAGAUCAAAAUCACCUUGUGCUCUUCAAGGGCAGAGGUAGUGACUUUGUCAUCCCUCCCCUUCCCACUGACAUUUAGAACAGAGCUGGAACAGCGCAGAUGAUCAACACGUGUUUGCGGAACACAGAAAUUUACCCUAGGAAAUGAGUCAUGGUGAAAUUAAUUAAUGAACUGUAUGGAGAAAGAAAAGCAGUAUUUUUUUUCCACCGCCUGUCGACUCCCUGAUCUUCACAUUACUGCUCCCUCCUGCCCUGGUGGGCCUGAAGAGUCCAUCUGCCCCCUCCCCAGCCCUUACCCCCAGCACCAGGCAUGUGACUCCAGUCUGGUCACACAGAACUGUUUCUUGGUGCUCGACAUUCUGAAGACAAGAGGGUUGUGACGUGAGAGAUGUGACCCCAGAACACUGCAAGGAAGGGUCUGGGCAGGACUGACAUGAGGUGAGGGGAGCAGGGACCCAAGGGUCUGGGGAUGAUCCAGUUGCUGCAAUGACUCUUGGGUCUGUGCAGCACCUGGGAAUAUAGAGAAAAUGCCCAAAAGGUGGUCGGAUUCUGCCACUGGCACCCAAAGUGUCCCAAGUCUUCCAAAGAUGUGCUCUGUGGGCUGUGGCACUGCCACUUCCGCUACCCAGUGUCUUCUUUUUAUCUUAGAGUUGUUACUAGGACAUCGGGCCAGAUUUGAC
rnacentral:lncRNA from 1 species